rnacentral:rRNA from 1 species
GAUGGGGGGACGGAGAAGGUUAGGUCAGCCGGGUGUUGGACGUCCCGGUUCAAGCGUGUGGGCAGACCUCUUAGGCAAAUCCGGGGGGUUAAUGCUGAGGCGUGAUAACGAGUGGUCUUGUACCGCGAAGUGAUUGAUACCAUGCUUCCAAGAAAAGCCUCUAAGCUUCAGUUACCAGGAGACCGUACCGCAAACCGACACAGGUGGGCAGGAUGAAAAUUCUAAGGCGCUUGAGAGAACUCAGGAGAAGGAACUCGGCAAAUUUGCACCGUAACUUCGGGAAAAGGUGCGCCCUGAUAGGUUGUAGCCCCUCGCGGGUGAAGGCUGAAAGGGUUGCAGUGAAAUGGUGGCUGCGACUGUUUAAUAAAAACACAGCACUCUGCAAACACGAAAGUGGACGUAUAGGGUGUGACGCCUGCCCGGUGCCGGAAGGUUAAGUGAUGGGGUGCAAGCUCUUGAUCGAAGCCCCGGUAAACGGCGGCCGUAACAAUAACGGUCCUAAGGUAGCGAAAUUCCUUGUCGGGUAAGUUCCGACCUGCACGAGUGGCGUAACGAUGGCCACACUGUCUCCUCCUGAGACUCAGCGAAGUUGAAAUGGUUGUGAAGAUGCAAUUUCCCCGCGGUUAGACGGAAAGACCCCAUGAACCUUUACUGUAGCUUUGCAUUGGACUUUGAACCGACUUGUGUAGGAUAGGUGGGAGGCAGUGAAGCCGGGACGCUAGUUCUGGUGGAGCCAACCUUGAAAUACCACCCUGGUUUGUUUGAGGUUCUAACCACGGCCCGUGAAUCCGGGUCUGGGACCGUGCAUGGUAGGCAGUUUGACUGGGGCGGUCUCCUCCUAAAGUGUAACGGAGGAGUACGAAGGUACGCUAGGUACGGUCGGACAUCGUGCUAAUAGUGCAAUGGCAAAAGCGUGCUUGACUGCGAGACCCACACGUCGAGCAGGUACGAAAGUAGGUCAUAGUGAUCCGGUGGUUCUGUAUGGAAGGGCCAUCGCUCAACGGAUAAAAGGUACUCUGGGGAUAACAGGCUAAUACCGCCCAAGAGUUCAUAUCGACGGCGGUGUUUGGCACCUCGAUGUCGGCUCAUCACAUCCUGGGGCUGUAGUCGGUCCCAAGGGUAUGGCUGUUCGCCAUUUAAAGUGGUACGUGAGCUGGGUUUAAAACGUCGUGAGACAGUUUGGUCCCUAUCUGCCGUGGGCGCUGGAAAUUUGAAGGGGGCUGCUCCUAGUACGAGAGGACCGGAGUGGACGAACCUCUGGUGUACCGGUUAUGACGCCAGUCGUAUUGCCGGGUAGCUAAGUUCGGAAGAGAUAAACGCUGAAAGCAUCUAAGCGUGAAACUCGCCUUAAGAUGAGAUUUCCCUGGGGACUUGAUCCCCCGAAGGGUCGUGGUAGACCACCACGUUGAUAGGCUGGGUGUGGAAGCGCAGCAAUGCGUUAAGCUAACCAGUACUAAUUGCCCGU